AGAAAUACCUAGCUGAUACGGGGGUAAAGCCGAAACCUCUAGAAGGUUAACAUAGGCUCUCCAGCUCCUACUCCUACUCAAUACGUGCCCGUCGUACAGCACGGUAACAUGUCUCUCAAUUAUCCAAGCUUACGGGUUACUUGAGUAUACGGGAAACCCAACCCCUUGCGCGGAUGGGUUGUAUGGCUAAAUUGAGAGGG
rfam:Anopheles arabiensis strain DONG5_A unplaced genomic scaffold supercont1.31, whole genome shotgun sequence.